rnacentral:rRNA from 1 species
AGUGAACGCUGGCGGUAGGCCUAACACAUGCAAGUCGAACGGCAGCACAGUAAGAGCUUGCUCUUACGGGUGGCGAGUGGCGGACGGGUGAGGAAUACAUCGGAAUCUACUUUUUCGUGGGGGAUAACGUAGGGAAACUUACGCUAAUACCGCAUACGACCUACGGGUGAAAGCAGGGGAUCUUCGGACCUUGCGCGAUUGAAUGAGCCGAUGUCGGAUUAGCUAGUUGGCGGGGUAGAGGCCCACCUAGGCGACGAUCCGUAGCUGGUCUGAGAGGAUGAUCAGCCACACUGGAACUGAGACACGGUCCAGACUCCUACGGGAGGCAGCAGUGGGGAAUAUUGGACAAUGGGCGCAAGCCUGAUCCAGCCAUACCGCGUGGGUGAAGAAGGCCUUCGGGUUGUAAAGCCCUUUUGUUGGGGAAGAAAAGCAGCAGGUUAAUACCCCGCUGUUCUGACGGUACCCAAAGAAUAAGCACCGGCUAACUUCGU